rnacentral:rRNA from 1 species
UACGGAGGAUGCGAGCGUUAUCCGGAUUUAUUGGGUUUAAAGGGUGCGUAGGCGGUCCGUUAAGUCAGCGGUAAAAUUGCGGGGCUCAACCCCGUCGAGCCGUUGAAACUGGCGUUCUUGAGUGAGCGAGAAGUAUGCGGAAUGCGUGGUGUAGCGGUGAAAUGCUUAGAUAUCACGAAGAACUCCGAUUGCGAAGGCAGCUCACUAGACUGCAACUGACACUGAUGCUCGAAAGUGUGGGUAUCAAACAGG